GCGUAAGGAACUUGCCUCUUGGUCUGGGACAACUGUUGGAAACGACAGCUAAUACCAGAUAUUAUGAGAUUCUCGCAUGAGAAACUUAUGAAAGCUAUAUGCGCCAAGAGAGAGCCUUGCGUUCCAUUAGCUAGUUGGUGGGGUAACGGCCCACCAAGGCGACGAUGGAUAGCCGGCCUGAGAGGGUGAACGGCCACAAGGGGACUGAGACACGGCCCUUACUCCUACGGGAGGCAGCAGUGGGGAAUAUUGGACAAUGGGCCACAAGCCUGAUCCAGCAAUUCUGUGUGCACGAUGAAGGUCUUCGGAUUGUAAAGUGCUUUCAGUUGGGAAGAAGAAAGUGACGGUACCAACAGAAGAAGCGACGGCUAAAUACGUGCCAGCAGCCGCGGUAAUACGUAUGUCGCAAGCGUUAUCCGGAUUUAUUGGGCGUAAAGCGCGUCUAGGCGGAAAAAUAAGUCUGAUGUUAAAAUGCGGGGCUCAACUCCGUAUUGCGUUGGAAACUGUUUUUCUAGAGUACUGGAGAGGUGGGCGGAACUACAAGUGUAGAGGUGAAAUUCGUAGAUAUUUGUAGGAAUGCCGAUGGAGAAGUCAGCUCACUGGACAGAUACUGACGCUAAAGCGCGAAAGCGUGGGGAGCAAAC
rnacentral:rRNA from 1 species